GGGUUCAAACCAAAUCUGAUUUGAUUUGGAAUCAAGUUGAAAACGAAGAGUCUCAGUUCUCAGCCAACUGAGACUCUCUCCCUUGCACACGCCCUAGACCCAUGCCAUUCUUCUUAACACAAAAAUAGUUUUUGCAUGAGAUUGUUGGGCAUGAGAAAGGAGGGCACAGAGAGGGUAGGCAGUACUCUUUAUGAGUCAUUCAUUUUAUCUCUUUCCUGAUUUGAAUUCGAUUUGAAUCAAGGAUAAGCAG
rnacentral:lncRNA from 1 species